rnacentral:rRNA from 1 species
AUUGAACGCUGGCGGCAUGCUUUACACAUGCAAGUCGAACGGUAACAGGCCUUCGGGUGCUGACGAGUGGCGAACGGGUGAGUAAUGCAUCGGAACGUACCCAGAGGUGGGGGAUAACGCAGCGAAAGCUGUGCUAAUACCGCAUGUGAUCUGAGGAUGAAAGCGGGGGACCGAGCAGCAAUGUUUGGCCUCGCGCCUUUGGAGCGGCCGAUGUCGGAUUAGCUAGUUGGUGGGGUAAAGGCCUACCAAGGCGACGAUCCGUAGCUGGUCUGAGAGGACGACCAGCCACACUGGGACUGAGACACGGCCCAGACUCCUACGGGAGGCAGCAGUGGGGAAUUUUGGACAAUGGGCGCAAGCCUGAUCCAGCAAUGCCGCGUGCGGGAAGAAGGCCUUCGGGUUGUAAACCGCUUUUGGCAGGAACGAAACGGUGUCCGCUAAUACCGGGCGCUAAUGACGGUACCUGCAGAAUAAGCACCGGCUAACUGCGUG